rnacentral:rRNA from 1 species
UACGUAGGGGGCAAGCGUUAUCCGGAUUUACUGGGUGUAAAGGGAGCGUAGACGACGAUGCAAGCCAGAUGUGAAAGCCCGGGGCUCAACCCCGGGACUGCAUUUGGAACUGUGUGGCUGGAGUGUCGGAGAGGCAAGUGGAAUUCCUAGUGUAGCGGUGAAAUGCGUAGAUAUUAGGAGGAACACCAGUGGCGAAGGCGGCUUGCUGGACGAUGACUGACGUUGAGGCUCGAAAGCGUGGGGAGCAAACAGG